GUUGGCUUACCGGAGGCUACACUCUUAGAGCAAACCAUUAGACUCUCCUAUCAGCCAACCUUGCCAGUAGGUCUUUACAUAGUUUUGAAGCAUUAUUAAAGCUGUCAAAUUUCUGAUUUGUUUCCUUACCUUUACAGUGCCAAGAGAAGCCACCUUUUUAAGGAAGCAAGGUGGAGUAGCGGUGUAUCACACAGAUAAAGUCACCUUUGCUUUUCCUGACAUACAAGUGGACAUGUCCUAGUUGGGCCACUUUAUGAAGUAACAGAGAAGAAAUUGAUUUCCUUUCCUAACGAGGCACAAACCACAGAAGACAAAGAGCAGAUAAAGGCCUUGAAAUGGACUUCAAUGAUUCCCCCAGCCUCAGCACAUGCUACGGACGUCUGUUGAAAGUGAGACAACUGUGUGGGCAGCCAGAGAAGAAUCUUAUCCAGGUAA